rnacentral:rRNA from 1 species
AACGAACGCUGGCGGCAGGCUUAACACAUGCAAGUCGAGCGCCCCGCAAGGGGAGCGGCAGACGGGUGAGUAACGCGUGGGAAUCUACCCAUCUCUACGGAAUAACGCAUGGAAACGUGUGCUAAUACCGUAUACGUCCUUCGGGAGCAAGAUUUAUCGGAGAUGGAUGAGCCCGCGUUGGAUUAGCUAGUUGGUGGGGUAAAGGGCUAACAAGGCGACGAUACAUUGCUGGUCUGGGAGGAGUAUCAGCCACACUGGGACUGAGACACGGCCCAGACUCCUACGGGAGGCAGCAGUGGGGAAUAUUGGACAAUGGGCGCAAGCCUGAUCCAGCCAUGCCGCGUGAGUGAUGAAGGCCCUAGGGUUGUAAAGCUCUUUCACCGGUGAAGAUAAUGACGGUAACCGGAGAAGAAGCCCCGGCUAACUUCGUGCCAGCAGCCGCCGCGGUAA